GAACCUAGAGCUCAGUGGUAGAGUGCUCACCUAGCAUGUGAGAGGUCCUGGGCUCGACCCCCAGCACGUCA
rnacentral:tRNA from 1 species